rnacentral:rRNA from 1 species
AUGAACGCUAGCUACAGGCUUAACACAUGCAAGUCGAGGGGCAGCAUUUUAGUUUGCUUGCAAACUAAAGAUGGCGACCGGCGCACGGGUGAGUAACACGUAUCCAACCUGCCGAUAACUCGGGGAUAGCCUUUCGAAAGAAAGAUUAAUAUCCGAUAGUAUAUUAAAACCGCAUGGUUUUACUAUUAAAGAAUUUCGGUUAUCGAUGGGGAUGCGUUCCAUUAGUUUGUUGGCGGGGUAACGGCCCACCAAGACUACGAUGGAUAGGGGUUCUGAGAGGAAGGUCCCCCACAUUGGAACUGAGACACGGUCCAAACUCCUACGGGAGGCAGCAGUGAGGAAUAUUGGUCAAUGGACGAGAGUCUGAACCAGCCAAGUAGCGUGAAGGAUGACUGCCCUAUGGGUUGUAAACUUCUUUUAUAUGGGAAUAAAGUAUUCCACGUGUGGAAUUUUGUAUGUACCAUAUGAAUAAGGAUCGGCUAACUCCGUGCCAGCAGCCGCGGUAAUACGGAGGAUCCGAGCGUUAUCCGGAUUUAUUGGGUUUAAAGGGAGCGUAGGUGGAUUGUUAAGUCAGUUGUGAAAGUUUGCGGCUCAACCGUAAAAUUGCAGUUGAAACUGGCAGUCUUGAGUACAGUAGAGGUGGGCGGAAUUCGUGGUGUAGCGGUGAAAUGCUUAGAUAUCACGAAGAACUCCGAUUGCGAAGGCAGCUCACUAGACUGCAACUGACACUGAUGCUCGAAAGUGUGGGUAUCAAACAGGAUUAGAUACCCUGGUAGUCCACACAGUAAACGAUGAAUACUCGCUGUUUGCGAUAUACAGUAAGCGGCCAAGCGAAAGCAUUAAGUAUUCCACCUGGGGAGUACGCCGGCAACGGUGAAACUCAAAGGAAUUGACGGGGGCCCGCACAAGCGGAGGAACAUGUGGUUUAAUUCGAUGAUACGCGAGGAACCUUACCCGGGCUUAAAUUGCAUUUGAAUAAUCUGGAAACAGGUUAGCCGCAAGGCAAAUGUGAAGGUGCUGCAUGGUUGUCGUCAGCUCGUGCCGUGAGGUGUCGGCUUAAGUGCCAUAACGAGCGCAACCCUUAUCUUUAGUUACUAACAGGUCAUGCUGAGGACUCUAGAGAGACUGCCGUCGUAAGAUGUGAGGAAGGUGGGGAUGACGUCAAAUCAGCACGGCCCUUACGUCCGGGGCUACACACGUGUUACAAUGGGGGGUACAGAAGGCAGCUACCUGGCGACAGGAUGCUAAUCCCAAAAACCUCUCUCAGUUCGGAUCGAAGUCUGCAACCCGACUUCGUGAAGCUGGAUUCGCUAGUAAUCGCGCAUCAGCCAUGGCGCGGUGAAUACGUUCCCGGGCCUUGUACACACCGCCCGUCACACCAUGAGAGUCGGGAACACCCGAAGUCCGUAGCUUAACCGCAAGGAGGGCGCGGCCGAAGGUGGGUUCGAUAAUUGGGGUG